rnacentral:rRNA from 1 species
CCACUAUCGGUGCUUCUACAUGCAGUAGACGCUGAGAGAGGAGCUUGCUCUUCUUGGAUGAGUUGCGAACGGGUGAGUAACGCGUAGGUAACCUGCCUUGUAGCGGGGGAUAACUAUUGGAAACGAUAGCUAAUACCGCAUAACAAUGGAUGACACAUGUCAUUUAUUUGAAAGGGGCAAUUGCUCCACUACAAGAUGGACCUGCGUUGUAUUAGCUAGUAGGUGAGGUAAUGGCUCACCUAGGCGACGAUACAUAGCCGACCUGAGAGGGUGAUCGGCCACACUGGGACUGAGACACGGCCCAGACUCCUACGGGAGGCAGCAGUAGGGAAUCUUCGGCAAUGGGGGCAACCCUGACCGAGCAACGCCGCGUGAGUGAAGAAGGUUUUCGGAUCGUAAAGCUCUGUUGUAAGUCAAGAACGGGUGUGAGAGUGGAAAGUUCACACUGUGACGGUAGCUUACCAGAAAGGGACGGCUAACUACGUGCCAGCAGCCGCGGUAAUACGUAGGUCCCGAGCGUUGUCCGGAUUUAUUGGGCGUAAAGCGAGCGCAGGCGGUUUGAUAAGUCUGAAGUUAAAGGCUGUGGCUCAACCAUAGUUCGCUUUGGAAACUGUCAAACUUGAGUGCAGAAGGGGAGAGUGGAAUUCCAUGUGUAGCGGUGAAAUGCGUAGAUAUAUGGAGGAACACCGGUGGCGAAAGCGGCUCUCUGGUCUGUAACUGACGCUGAGGGCUCGAAAGCGUGGGGAGCGAACAGGAUUAGAUACCCUGGUAGUCCACGCCGUAAACGAUGAGUGCUAGGUGUUGGAUCCUUUCCGGGAUUCAGUGCCGCAGCUAACGCAUUAAGCACUCCGCCUGGGGAGUAAGGUUGAAACUCAAAGGAAUUGACGGGGGCCCGCACAAGCGGUGGAGCAUGUGGUUUAAUUCGAAGCAACGCGAAGAACCUUACCAGGUCUUGACAUCCCGAUGCUAUUUCUAGAGAUAGAAAGUUACUUCGGUACAUCGGUGACAGGUGGUGCAUGGUUGUCGUCAGCUCGUGUCGUGAGAUGUUGGGUUAAGUCCCGCAACGAGCGCAACCCCUAUUGUUAGUUGCCAUCAUUCAGUUGGGCACUCUAGCGAGACUGCCGGUAAUAAACCGGAGGAAGGUGGGGAUGACGUCAAAUCAUCAUGCCCCUUAUGACCUGGGCUACACACGUGCUACAAUGGUUGGUACAACGAGUUGCGAGUCGGUGACGGCGAGCUAAUCUCUUAAAGCCAAUCUCAGUUCGGAUUGUAGGCUGCAACUCGCCUACAUGAAGUCGGAAUCGCUAGUAAUCGCGGAUCAGCACGCCGCGGUGAAUACGUUCCCGGGCCUUGUACACACCGCCCGUCACACCACGAGAGUUUGUAACACCCGAAGUCGGUGAGGUAACCUUUUGGAGCCAGCCGCCUAAGGUGGGACAGAUGAUGAGGUGAAGUCGCGAAGAGUAGUAAGC